CUAUGCUGCUGGUCCGUGGGCCAAACUUUGAAUUGCAAGGCAAACGCUCAAACUUUACAAAACCAAAACCAAAAUUGCAAUCCAGUGGUCUUACAAGCUAAUUAAGAGAAGAAAGCUGAGAGAGGAUUUUUUUGGUGACCAAGGGAUCAGCCAGGAACCAUCAGAACCCACAAAGAGAUGAUAAGGCCCGAGCCAACCGGAAGUCUCGUACCUGUCGUAGUCUUGGCAAAUCUCCCCCACAGCCACCAAGGCCUUCAGAAGAGAUCUGGCCUGGAGGCAGGGAGACUAACUAGGAGACACCUACAGUAAUUGAGGAGUGAAGAAUGGCCUUGAAUGAACAGUUCUUUAUGACCAAAGCAGUUAUCAAAGAUGAGGAAACCAAGGCACAGAGAGGUGAAGUAAGUUUCCCAAGACCACACAACACCAGGUAUCUUUAUAUGCCUUGGACAACUAAAGAUGAAUUGUUCAUUGUCUCAUGGUGACCUUCACAAGAGCCCCAUGAGAAAGAGAGUCCAUUUUUACAGAUGACGAUCCUAAAGUAUAAUAAAGAACUGAAGGCGGCUUAUUCCCAAGCACAGAGUGAGCCAGAUGGAAUUGGGCUGUGACCCUGGCUUUAUUUCUCCACCUCCAGGGCCCUUUCAUUGCACCACAUGGCUUCACGACAUACUCCUGCCAGGUGCCUUUCCGAUGGCAGGCUUUUUUUUUCUUUUUCUUUUUUUAUAA